rnacentral:rRNA from 1 species
AUUGAACGCUGGCGGCAGGCUUAACACAUGCAAGUCGAGCGGAGAUGAGGUGCUUGCACCUUAUCUUAGCGGCGGACGGGUGAGUAAUGCUUAGGAAUCUGCCUAUUAGUGGGGGACAACAUUCCGAAAGGAAUGCUAAUACCGCAUACGUCCUACGGGAGAAAGCAGGGGAUCUUCGGACCUUGCGCUAAUAGAUGAGCCUAAGUCGGAUUGGCUAGUUGGUGGGGUAAAGGCCUACCAAGGCGACGAUCUGUAGCGGGUCUGGGAGGAUGAUCCGCCACACUGGGACUGAGACACGGCCCAGACUCCUACGGGAGGCAGCAGUGGGGAAUAUUGGACAAUGGGGGGAACCCUGAUCCAGCCAUGCCGCGUGUGUGAAGAAGGCCUUAUGGUUGUAAAGCACUUUAAGCGAGGAGGAGGCUACUGAGACUAAUACUCUUGGAUAGUGGACGUUACUCGCAGAAUAAGCACCGGCUAACUCUGUGCCAGCAGCCGCCGUAAUAC